rnacentral:rRNA from 1 species
CCCUUAGAUGUUCUGGGCCGCACGCGUGCUACACUGAGUGGAUCAGCGGGUCAGGUUGCGCGAAAGCGUUUCCUAAUCUUUAAAUCCGCUCGUGAUGGGGAUUGACGGUUGCAAUUUUCUGUCAUGAACGAGGAAUACCUUGUAAGCGCGGGUCAUCAUCCCGCGCUGAAUACGUCCCUGCCCUUUGUACACACCGCCCGUCGCUCCUACCGAUCGAAGAGUUAGGUGAAUUGUUUUGAUCGAUAAGAUUUGACUAUGGUCAACUCUCGUUGUGAAAUUCUGUGAAUCUGACUGUUUAGAGGAAGGAAAAGUCGUAACA